rnacentral:rRNA from 1 species
AGUGAACGCUGGCGGCAGGCCUAAUACAUGCAAGUCGAACGGCAGCACAGCAGAGCUUGCUCUGUGGGUGGCGAGUGGCGGACGGGUGAGGAAUACAUGGGAAUCUGCCCAGUCGUGGGGGAUAACGUAGGGAAACUUACGCUAAUACCGCAUGCGCCCUUCGGGGGAAAGCCGGGGACCUUCGGGCCUGGCGCGAUUGGAUGAGCCCAUGUCGGAUUAGCUAGUUGGUGGGGUAAUGGCCCACCAAGGCGACGAUCCGUAGCUGGUCUGAGAGGAUGAUCAGCCACACUGGAACUGAGACACGGUCCAGACUCCUACGGGAGGCAGCAGUAGGGAAUAUUGGACAAUGGGCGCAAGCCUGAUCCAGCCAUGCCGCGUGAGUGAAGAAGGCCCUCGGGUUGUAAAGCUCUUUUGUCCGGAAAGAAAAGCGCCGGGUUAAUACCCUGGUGUCCUGACGGUACCGGAAGAAUAAGCACCGGCUAACUUCGUG